rnacentral:lncRNA from 10 species
UCUGCCCUUCCUCCAUCUCACCCUCUCCUCAGGUCUGUUUUCUGAGACACAGCAAUAUUGAAAUUAGGCCAAUUAAUAACUCUAUAAAGGCCUCUAUGUGUUCAAGUGAAAGUAAGAGUCACACAUCUCUUAUUAUAAAUCUAAAGUGAGAAAUGAUUAAGCUGAGUGAGGAAGGUAUGUUAAAAGCUGAGACAGGCCAAAAGGCCCAGGCUGGUCUCGAACUCCUGACCUCAAGCAAUCCACCUGCCGCAGCCUCCCAGGUAGCUGAGAUUAAAGGCAUGAGCCACCAUGUCCAGCUUCUAUGCAUUAUUUUAAAUGGAGUAUUGAAGACUCUGUUACUGUAGAACUAUUUCUAACUUCAAUUCUGUCAAUAUUUGGGUCACAGGCCUUAAUGUGAUUACACGCUGGUCUGAUGCUCAUGGCCAGGACAUUUUGUUUUCCUGUUGGACAUAAACAAUCUCACAGAAUAUCAACUUCAGAAGGUUAAUCUGAGACCGUGAUAAGUGCAAACAAAAACAAGGGCACUUUAUAAUGUUGUCUAAGUGCAGAUAAAAAACAAGGUCUUGAUGCCACCCACAAAAUACUUAAUAAUCAUAUUGCUCCUGCUUUCUGACAGCAUCCAAUCUAAAGUCUUCACUUUCUGAGAUCCUGUCCGAAAUCAACCAAUUAAAGUCCAAAUCGUAUAAUAGUUUCUCUCUAACUCCUCCCACUGAGAUGACCCAUAGUACCCCAUUCCUUGCUGCAAUGUAAUUAUAUUUACUUACAAGUGUGCUCCUGGUGGUCUUUAACUGAAGGGCACUGACUGGGUCACUGGUGAAGUUCCCCGCAGGAACUGAGUCAGACCCCAUCUCAGGGCCCUGCACAAGAUAGGUACCUGCUCUAAGGCGUGGACCCUCGCCACAGCCCUGGCCCGUCUUGACGGGCGAGGGUUACUGUACUUGUCCCAACCGUACAGAUGAGAAAGCUGAGACUCAGGGCCAGCAACCCGGGUCCCAGCGGAGCGCCCGGCACGCGCCAACACUUCAGCACCAGUCGCGGUGGCCACCACUGUGCGCGGAGAUGGCUGCGACGCGUGCGCAGGUAAAGUCCAUCCGUGCCUUGCCUCCCACCGGCGCCUUCCCCGGCCUCUGGUUUUUGUCCCCAGGAGAGCCUGCCUGCACGGAAGAGACGCCUCCUCGGUAUGGCCGCCCCCGGAGAGGAGCGAUUAAGUGCAGACCUCCAUGUUGCUCUUGAGCCUGAGCGGCUUCAGGGAGCCAUGUUUGUUACUGGCGGGCGCCGACCUCACUGAGCAUGUGCAGCCCUGGCCGGGCGGCCUCAAAGUUCUGACAUCAC